CGCACAUUGCACCUUUUGGUAUUCCGAAAGGUAUGCUUGUUCGAGCGUCGUUUAUAUCUAAUCAAUUUAAUUAUUGAUUGUAUUGAGGUUUUAUGGUGGAUUACACUAUAUCCUUUAAAAUAAGUGGGCGAUUGAAUAGAAAUCUAAAACGCAUUAAUAUUUAAUAUCGUUUCAAGAAAAUCUAUCUUAUCAGCCAAAAUCUAUGGUCUUAAACAACCAUAACCACUACAUAAAAUCGACCUCGAAUCAAGUAGGAUUACCCGCUGAACUUAA
rnacentral:misc_RNA from 1 species